UUGCCUAGACAUGCAAGUCGAACGGGCUGUUUAUGCAGCCAGUGGCGGACGGGUGAGUAACACGUAGGUGACCUACCCCAAAGUCUGGGACAACUAGGAGAAAUCUUAGCUAAUCCUGGAUGUGGACAUCUACUUUGGUGGAUGUUUAAAGCUUCGGCGCUUUGGGAUGGGCCUGCGGCGCAUCAGGUAGUUGGUGGGGUAAUGGCCUACCAAGCCGACGACGCGUAGCUGGUCUGAGAGGACGAUCAGCCACAGGGGUACUGAGACACGGACCCCACUCCUACGGGAGGCAGCAGUUAGGAAUCUUCCGCAAUGGGCGAAAGCCUGACGGAGCGAUACCGCUUGAAGGACGAAGCCCUUCGGGGUGUAAACUUCUGAACUCGGGACGAUAAUGACGGUACCGAGGUAAUAGCACCGGCUAACUCCGUGCCAGCAGCCGCGGUAAUACGGAGGGUGCGAGCGUUACCCGGAUUUACUGGGUGUAAAGGGCGUGUAGGCGGUCUCUCAAGUCCGAUGCUAAAGACCGAAGCUCAACUUCGGGGGUGCGUUGGAUACUGUGAGGCUAGACGGUCGGAGAGGGUAGCGGAAUUUCCGGAGUAGCGGUGAAAUGCGCAGAUACCGGAAGGAACGCCAAUAGCGAAAGCAGCUACCUGGACGAUUUGUGACGCUGAGGCGCGAAAGCGUGGGGAGCAAACCGGAUUAGAUACCCGGGUAGUCCACGCCCUAAACGAUGAGUGCUGGGUGUCCGACAUCUGUUGGGUGCCGUAGCUAACGCGUUAAGCACUCCACCUGGGAAGUACGGUCGCAAGACUGAAACUCAAAGGAAUUGACGGGGGCCCGCACAAGCGGUGGAGCAUGUGGUUUAAUUCGAAGCAACGCGCAGAACCUUACCAGGUCUUGACAUCCACGGAACCCUGGUGAAAGCCGGGGGUGCCCGCAAGGGAGCCGUGAGACAGGUGCUGCAUGGUCGUCGUCAGCUCGUGUCGUGAGAUGUUGGGUUAAGUCCCGCAACGAGCGCA
rnacentral:rRNA from 1 species